rnacentral:tRNA from 1 species
AACACGGUAGUUUAAUUUUAAAAUUUAUAUUUUGCGUGUAUGAGAUGACUUUUGUUUUGUGUUA